GACGAACGCUGGCGGCGUGCUUAACACAUGCAAGUCGAACGGAAAGGCCCUGCUUUUGUGGGGUGCUCGAGUGGCGAACGGGUGAGUAACACGUGAGUAACCUGCCCUUGACUUUGGGAUAACUUCAGGAAACUGGGGCUAAUACCGUAUAGGAGCUCCUGCUGCAUGGUGGGGGUUGGAAAGUUUCGGCGGUUGGGGAUGGACUCGCGGCUUAUCAGCUUGUUGGUGGGGUAGUGGCUUACCAAGGCUUUGACGGGUAGCCGGCCUGAGAGGGUGACCGGCGACAUUGGGACUGAGAUACGGCCCAGACUCCUACGGGAGGCAGCAGUGGGGAAUAUUGCACAAUGGGCGGAAGCCUGAUGCAGCAACGCCGCGUGCGGGAUGACGGCCUUCGGGUUGUAAACCGCUUUCGCCUGUGACGAAGCGUGAGUGACGGUAAUGGGUAAAGAAGCACCGGCUAACUACGUG
rnacentral:rRNA from 1 species